UACAGAGGUCUCAAGCGUUGUUUCGGAUUCAUUGGGGCGUAAAGGGUGCGUAGGCGGCGCGGUAAGUCGGGUGUGAAAUCUUGGAGCUUAACUCCGAAACUGCAUUCGAUACUGCCGUGCUUGAGGACUGGAGAGGAGACUGGAAUUUACGGUGUAGCGGUGAAAUGCGUAGAUAUCGUAAGGAAGACCAGUGGCGAAGGCGGGUCUCUGGACAGUUCCUGACGCUGGAGGCACGAAGGCCAGGGGAGCAAACGGG
rnacentral:rRNA from 1 species